GGAGAGAUCGUCAUUGGUAAAGCAAACUGCCUGCUAAGCAGUCGUGGGAUAGCAAAUCUCACUAUGGGUUCGACUCCCAUUCUCUCCUCCA
rnacentral:tRNA from 1 species